rnacentral:rRNA from 1 species
GGCCUACCAUGGUGGUAACGGGUAACGGGGUGUUAGGGCACGACACCGGAGAGGGAGCCUGAGAAACGGCUACCACAUCCAAGGAUGGCAGCAGGCGCGCAAAUUACCCAAUCCCGACACGGGGAGGUAGUGACAAUAAAUAACAAUACGGGGUUCUUUAGGAUCUCGUAAUUGGAAUGGGUACAAUUUAAAUCUCUUAACGAGGAACAAUUGGAGGGCAAGUCUGGUGCCAGCAGCCGCGGUAAUUCCAGCUCCAAUAGCGUAUAUUAAAGUUGUUGCAGUUAAAAAGCUCGUAGUUGAAUUUCGGGGUUAGUAGGUUGGUCAUGCCUCCGGUAUGUACUGAUCUCACUGAUUCCUCCUUCCUUAUGAACCGUAAUGCCAUUAAUUUGGUGUUGCGGGGAAUUUGGACUGUUACUUUGAAAAAAUUAGAGUGUUUAAAGCAGGCUAACGCUUGAAUACAUUAGCAUGGAAUAAUGAAAUAGGACGUUCGAUCUUAUUUUGUUGGUUUCUAGGAUUGACGUAAUGAUUAAUAGGGAUAGUUGGGGGCAUUAGUAUUCAAUUGUCAGAGGUGAAAUUCUUGGAUUUAUUGAAGACUAACUACUGCGAAAGCAUUUGCCAAGGAUGUUUUCAUUAAUCAAGAACGAAAGUUAGGGGAUCGAAGACGAUCAGAUACCGUCGUAGUCUUAACCAUAAACUAUGCCGACUAGGGAUCGGAUGAUGUUAAUUUUUUAAUGACUCAUUCGGCGCCUUACGGGAAACCAAAGUGUUUGGGUUC